AUGGCAUCGUCUUCGGGUCGGCGCGCGGUGGCUCUGGCAGCGCUCGUGGUCGUCUUUCUGGUCGCCGGAGCGGGCCUUGCUGGCGCGGCGCGGCCGGCACCGGCGGAGAGGAGCGGGGACGGCGCGAUGUACUCGGCGGUGUACCCGGCCGCGGUGGUGGUGGCGGACAGGGCGAGGGAGACGGUGGAGAUGCUCAUGGCGAGGCUGCCGGCUGGGCCCAGCCCCAAGGGCCCCGGCCACUAG
rnacentral:rRNA from 1 species